UACGUAGGGGGCAAGCGUUGUCCGGAAUCAUUGGGCGUAAAGAGCUCCGUAGGCGGUCAGUCGCGUCUGCUGUGAAAACUCGGGGCUUAACUCGGGCCUGCAGUGGGUACGGGCUGACUAGAGUGCGGUAGGGGAGACUGGAAUUCCUGGUGUAGCGGCGAAAUGCGCAGAUAUCAGGAGGAACACCGGUGGCGAAGGCGGGUCUCUGGGCCGAACUGACGCUGAGGAGCGAAAGCGUGGGGAGCGAACAGG
rnacentral:rRNA from 1 species